rnacentral:rRNA from 1 species
AUUGAACGCUGGCGGCAGGCCUAACACAUGCAAGUCGAGCGAGCGGCGGACGGGUGAGUAAUGCCUGGAAAUUGCCCAGUCGAGGGGGAUAACAGUUGGACACGACUGCUAAUACCGCAUACGCUUGGAUUGCCAAGGGGGGAUUAGCUAGUUGGUGAGGUAAUGGCUCACCAAGGCGACGAUCCCUAGCUGGUAUGAGAGGAUGAUCAGCCACACGUGAACUGAGACACGGUCCAGACUCCUACGGGAGGCAGCAGGGGGGAAUAUUGCACAAUGGGCGAAAGCCGGAUGCAGCCAUGCCGCGUGUGUGAAGAAGGCCUUCGGGUUGUAAAGCACUUUCAGCGAGGAGGCGUUACUCGCAGAAGAAGCACCGGCUAACUCCGUGCCAGCAGCCGCGGUAAUUC